GUAACUCUCUUCUGCAGAGUAAGGGUUGUGGGGGGCGGAGGGAAGGUGCAGUCCCUUCACUUUUGAAUAAGGCUAUUUAAAACUGUCGAAGACCCUGUGAGCAGCCCAGGUGGCAGCAGCCCUGGGUCCCAUCAUUGCAAGAGACAUGGUCACCAGACUCAGCCCAGGCCACUUGGCUCAAUUCCUUCUUUCCUGGUUGGGAAGUCCUUUUCUAUUCAACCAAUAUUCUUCAGCGGUCUGACUUCGGCGGUCCCCCAAUUAGUUUAAUGACAGACAACAGAGCUUCGGCCUUCUGUGGCCUGACAAGAGGAGUCAGGAUGCAACCCUCAAUACAAAAGAGCCAAAGUUGCAAGUCAUGUAACUGGAGUGUGUGCAAAGGAGAAAAUUUUGACCUGAAAUAACACCCGAAACCAAUGAUUCUCCCCUAAACAGAACCAAAGAACCAGGACACGACUGGAACUUGAAAGCCAAACUCUCCUUGGAAGUGAGAGGUCCAUUGUCCAGGAAGAUCUGUCGUUAAUGCCCGUUUCCAUAACUUGCCAUAAAUGGCCAAGUUUAAAGCCAUCCUACUGAAACCUGCCUGACCUGUUCUUCUGCAUACCAGCCUGUUUCCCCUAACCCCAAACUUAAAUUUUUGCCCCAAACUGUGAAUAGAGGGACAGAUUUGAGAGCCUUGCCUCCUGUCUCCUUGCCACUUGACCUCCCAAUAAAG
rnacentral:lncRNA from 1 species